UGGGGGAAUAUUGGACAAUGGGGGGCAACCCUGAUCCAGCAAUGCCGCGUGUGUGAAGAAGGUCUUCGGAUUGUAAAGCACUUUCGACGGGGACGAUGAUGACGGUACCCGUAGAAGAAGCCCCGGCUAACUUCGUGCCAGCAGCCGCGGUAAUACGAAGAGGGCUAGCGUUGCUCGGAAUGACUGGGCGUAAAGGGCGUGUAGGCGGUUUACACAGUCAGAUGUGAAAUCCCCGGGCUUAACCUGGGAGCUGCAUUUGAUACGUGUAGACUAGAGUGUGAGAGAGGGUUUGUGGAAUU
rnacentral:rRNA from 1 species